UACGUAGGGUGCGAGCGUUAAUCGGAAUUACUGGGCGUAAAGCGUGCGCAGGCGGUCUGUUAAGACCGAUGUGAAAUCCCCGGGCUUAACCUGGGAACUGCAUUGGUGACUGGCAGGCUUUGAGUGUGGCAGAGGGAGGUAGAAUUCCACGUGUAGCAGUGAAAUGCGUAGAGAUGUGGAGGAACACCGGUGGCGAAGGCGGCAUCCUGGACCAAUAUUGACGCUGAGGAGCGAAAGCCAGGGGAGCAAACGGG
rnacentral:rRNA from 1 species